rnacentral:lncRNA from 1 species
CUGAUGUUCCUUUUGGGCUUAUGCAGUGCAACCCUGACUUCUUUCAUCCAUCUUGACUUCUUUCAUCCAUCCGAGCUCUCUCCACUUGUGGAGACACCUUUGGAGAGUGCUCCACCUAAAUACCAAGUUCUCCCGAUGCACCUGUAAGGGGCAAAAUAGAAUAGGAUGUUAGUUGUCCAAUGCUGCCCUACGGGAUCUCCUGUU